GUAGGGUGCGAGCGUUGUCCGGAAUUAUUGGGCGUAAAGAGCUCGUAGGCGGUCUGUCGCGUCUGCUGUGAAAACCCGAGGCUCAACCUCGGGCCUGCAGUGGGUACGGGCAGACUAGAGUGCGGUAGGGGAGAAUGGAAUUCCUGGUGUAGCGGUGGAAUGCGCAGAUAUCAGGAGGAACACCGAUGGCGAAGGCAGUUCUCUGGGCCGUAACUGACGCUGAGGAGCGAAAGCGUGGGGGGAGCGAACAGGAUUAGAUACCCUGGUAGUCCACGCCGUAAACGUUGGGCGCUAGAUGUGGGGAUCAUUCCCACGGUUUCCGUGUCGCAGCUAACGCAUUAAGCGCCCCCGCCUGGGAGUACGGCCGCAAGGCUA
rnacentral:rRNA from 1 species